UCCGUUGGUGAACCUGCGGAGGGAUCAUU
rnacentral:rRNA from 1 species